rnacentral:rRNA from 1 species
CCUACGGGUGGCUGCAGUAGGGAAUCUUCCACAAUGGGCGAAAGCCUGAUGGAGCAACGCCGCGUGGGUGAAGAAGGUCUUCGGAUCGUAAAACCCUGUUGUAAGAGCAGAAAGUGCGUGAGAGUAACUGUUCACGUUUCGACGGUAUCUAACCAGAAAGCCACGGCUAACUACGUGCCCGCAGCCGCGGUAAUACGUAGGUGGCAAGCGUUAUCCGGAUUUAUUGGGCGUAAAGGGAACGCAGGCGGUCUUGUAAGUCUGAUGUGAAAGCCUUCGGCUUAACCGGGGUAGUGCAUUGGAAACUGGGAGACUUGAGUGCGGAAGAGGGGAGUGGAACUCCAUGUGUAGCGGUGAAAUGCGUAGAUAUAUGGAAGAACACCAGUGGCGAAAGCGGUUCUCUGGACUGUAACUGACGCUGAGGUUCGAAAGCGAGGGUAGCAAACGGGAUUAGAUACCCUUGUAGUC